AGGCUUAAAAUUCCCUCUCUGAUGCCAAUCGUGUUUCUCAGUGGCCAGUCCUGAUGAAGGUUAGUGUCUUAUGCACUUGCCGAGUAGCAACUUUCAAGCAUUGCAACAUGUCAAAAUUUUACUCAAGUGCAGCACACAUGAAGUUGUCAACAUUAUGUUAAACAAAUCACUUAAAUAAUCACAAAAUAUCUUUGCAGAAAAGAUGCAAAAACUACAACUACAUAUUGUACAAAUUUGCCUUAUACAUAUUGUGUUCAGAAAUUAUGAGGAAACUUAUUAAGUCAAGGUAAUCCAAAUAAAAAACUGACAAAGUUUAACACCAGUACAUUUUUAUUAAUUAUAAAUGUUCUUUAAAAACAACAGCAGCUUUCAGGCUGUCACCAUGUUGCAAACAUGAAAUAUCAGACAUACAGUGGUAGUUCUUUACAGGUUUUUUAAUCGAUUGGGUUGUUUUUUUCUGUGUAAACAUUGAUGUGUUUGACUGUUGCGCUCGCGUCUCUUGCAGUGUCUCAUGCAUGAAACGCCAUUCAAAAAACACUUUACUCAAGCAUAGGCUUGGCCGUGGGGACUUGACUCUCUUUCCCUUUUCCGUUACCUGCUGUAGGACGGAUAGGACCCCAUGGUGGGUGAGACUGGCCAAAUUCAAUGGCUUUAUCUAGUGUAUGAUCAGUUUCCCUCAGUAGCCACUCUUUCAUUCUAGGAUCUGAUAUGCUGAAAACUAUCACGUCAUUUUCAGUUAGUCCAAAUUGCUUACAUUUCUGUCACAUUUCUUUAACAAGUUUGUUAAUUCAAACUGAUUCUUAAUUGCCAUGUGUCCAGAAUUGAUAGCGCUCAAAAACAAAAUUUUUCUUGGGGCUAUAAUUCUCUGUGAAUGCUAUAUAAUAAUCUCUGCCAUUGUCAGGUUUUCUGGAUCUCUAAAUGUUAUCUGCAGUGUAUUAUACACAUCCAAGGCUUCCUCACCAACCUUGUGUAGGAGAAUAUCAAAUUUUGACAGUCUCCUCUUUGUCAUCUGAUCCAGUUGCCGUCAUGUACAAAUUGAACCACUGUUUACACCUGUGCCAGUUCUCACUCAUAUUGCCCAUCAGCAAAAGAGAUGAUGGAGCUGGCGCUGUUCCAAAUACAACUUCUUAGCUCAUAUGCUGCUGUAGGUGCUGACAGCCUCCCAGCGACUUCCACAAGUUGACCCCAUGCUAAUUGAUCAGUGGAUAGGGUCUUGGCAUCUACGUGUGUGAGAUGACGAUUCUUAAGGCUGUCUUCUACUUGUUUCAUCCAGGUCUUCUUCUGCGCAUGGCAGUGUGCCUUCCCUGUUGGUGGUUGUUGGAGCCAAAGUGGUUUGUAUGGCAGUCAAGCAAUGUCCAUUAGACACACCUUGCCAAACCACUGUAAGCGUCUUUUCCAUAUCACCUCUUCAUUUGUGGAAUGGUUGCCACAUUGUUGACAUACAGUUUCAUUUCGGAGCUAGUCAAGCCGGGAUACACCAAAGAUUUGCCUGAGGCAUUGAAUUUGAAAGGUCUUCUAUUACUCACUGUGCCACAGAAUUAGUCUUCUUCAACUGCCGAUCUUUCUACCUUUUCUCACAAAACGAAGAAACCCAUAUCUUCUGACACAAUGUUAUUUUAUUCCAAUUAUUAAACAUGCUCUCUUAAACACA